UGACAUGGCUCAGGACGAACGCUGGCGCGGUGCCUAAUACAUGCAAGUCGAGCGGACAGAAGGGAGCUUGCUCCCGGAUGUUAGCGGCGGACGGGUGAGUAACACGUGGGUAACCUGCCUGUAAGACUGGGAUAACUCCGGGAAACCGGAGCUAAUACCGGAUAGUUCCUUGAACCGCAUGGUUCAAGGAUGAAAGACGGUUUCGGCUGUCACUUACAGAUGGACCCGCGGCGCAUUAGCUAGUUGGUGAGGUAACGGCUCACCAAGGCGACGAUGCGUAGCCGACCUGAGAGGGUGAUCGGCCACACUGGGACUGAGACACGGCCCAGACUCCUACGGGAGGCAGCAGUAGGGAAUCUUCCGCAAUGGACGAAAGUCUGACGGAGCAACGCCGCGUGAGUGAUGAAGGUUUUCGGAUCGUAAAGCUCUGUUGUUAGGGAAGAACAAGUGCAAGAGUAACUGCUUGCACCUUGACGGUACCUAACCAGAAAGCCACGGCUAACUACGUGCCAGCAGCCGCGGUAAUACGUAGGUGGCAAGCGUUGUCCGGAAUUAUU
rnacentral:rRNA from 1 species